ACUCAAUCAAGAAAUUCUGGGAGGGCAGUUACAACAGCAACAAUAAUGCCACCAUCAUAACUGAUAUGAGUCUACAUCCUUAACUGUGACAGUGAUUGCCAGCCCAUCUAUAUAUAUAAAAGGGUAAUGAAAUUUCGGCCUAGGACAAAACAACAAAACUACACAUCCCAGAAACACUAAACUUGGCAGCACAACCCCUCAUCCAUGCCUCUACGUUCAUACAACAAAAAGAAAAGAAAAAUAAAGUCCUAAUUAGAGGGAGAGGAAUAAUUGCUUUAAUCCAAUUGCUGCCAGUUAGAAUGUUAAGCUCCACCCACUUGGUCUCCUAGCAACCCACUCACCCCAGGGAAUAGGCAGAGUUAGGCCUCACGUAGGCCUCUUCCACACUACCUAUAAAAUACAGAUUAUCUGAUUUCCCAUACCACCGUACUUCGCCACAGCAACGCAUGACCAGGCACAGCUAGUAUGUUUAUAUGUGCCAAAACAAAUGGAAAAUAUAGAUCUUCUGUGGAUGCUCUCCAUUCAUGAAUGGCUGAUGCACACUGAAACUGAUGAGGUGAAGGGCAGGAUCAUCAGACACAGAACCAGAUAUGUCACCAGAUAUGGAGCAAAGUACAUGCAAUUUACUGCCUCCUUUACAUGGUAUAAAUCAACAAGAAAUAGAAACUGGGUGUGAAGGGGGUGCAGUCUGAAGAAAUCUGGCAGUAUGUUGGUGUGAAAGGGUCCAGCGUUAUCCAUUCUGGCAGUUGUUUGCAACAAACAUGACUCUGAUAGCUGUUUGUAAUUUUCCCAGUAACUUCUUUAUUUCAGUCACACAACUCAAAUCCAACGGAGCUUCCCCUUCUUCUCCCACUCUCCCUCUUAUCUUCCUUCCUCCACUCCCCCCUCCCUCCUUCCAAUUCCUCCACAUCUGUCUCCGUGCUUGCAUUGAUUCAGCAUCCUUGGAUCUUGCUGGUGUUUUAAAGGAACAGCUUCUUUAUAACUCUAGGACGGGACCCUCCACUGUUGCCCCCUUACAGUUGGAGACUACUAGUCUUAUAUUAGUACGAGCUUUCAGUAAUAUCAGCCCACUUCUUCAGAUGUACUGAUACAUACCUGUCAUCUUGCAGCUGAUUGUGAAAUGUGUUGAGGUUUGGCCAGUGGGAUGUCAGUUGUCAAAACAGAAGGCUUCCAAUAUUUAUUUGUCUUGAUAUUAAUUUAUAAAUAUAUGGGGACAAUGUAAAAAAAAAAUAGUCGUGGGUGUUUCUGGCCCAGGAGGAACUUCAUUAAUCUGCCCUCCCUGUAUUUGCCCUGCUGCAACCAGAAGUUUAAUGUUUUCCCACUCUCUUCAGGAAACUAAUUAGUCUUAAAAGAGGCAGGUUUUGUCAUCUCAAAAUCUUCUUCCAUCUCUCCCCCCCCCCAUUUAUUUGAUGUACCUGUGUUUGUGAUGAAGGGAGAGGUCUUUAAUGCCUAAUUUUAGCCUCCCUUAUUUUUUUCCUUCUGAACUUCAAGUUACUUAGCUCCAAAUCAUCUCUGCCCUCUGAGCUUGUUCUUGAAUAUUUCCCCAUCUUAAAGUGUUAGACAUUGCACUUUUUGCCAAACGUUAAGCUCUGCCUUAAUAUAGGCUAUUUUCCACUGCAGUCAUUGUGAGUAUUUCCAUUAUUCUACAUGUAAUAAAGCAUCCUACUAGAUAGCUCUGUGUGGAUAAGAGUUAUUGACUCUAAUUGGCCUAAAAUGCAUUUCUGCCAUAAUCAAUGCCUCUUACAGUCCUGUAUGUUCAUAGUAUGCAUGAAUUCAUUUAGGUGUUGUGAAAGUAUAUAUGAUAACACUUCACAGAUAUAGAUAUCAAUCUUAAGCAUUUUUUACAUUAAGAUCUUCAAUUUUUGCAAUUGUUUACACAAAAUAUAGAAUCUGUACUAAAAUCUGUGAUAUUAAGCAUUACAAAUAUUUAAUUAUGUCUGUUAAUGAUUUAAGUCACUAUUAUCAGUGACCUUCUCAAAUCAUAAAGUGUGAUUUGGAAUUAAUUAAAGGAAUGCAACACUGAACAUUUUAUUAAAUUACCAAUAAAUGCACAUUUCAGCUCAUGUCCUGACAAGAUCCCAACACUUUCCACUGAAGCAUCUGCUUUUGGAAUGAGUCCCAGUCCAUGCUAUGCACUUGCACGCUAUCUAGUGAUUAGGGAGGUGUUCCAGUGUGUGACAGAAAGCUGAUUUAUGAUGAGAGAUGCUAUUUUUAAUGGCACAUUUAGCUAGAGUUAUUGUAGCUAGAACUAUGUCCUCUGAAGGAACAGUUUCACAAGCACAGUAUGUAGGAUGUACCUCCCUCUGCCACCAACUGCCUAUGACUAAACUGCUGGGUUUGUGAUGAUGAAUGACAUUAGAAAUAGAAGCAGUGGUCCAACACAGAGCGCACAGACUGUCCAAAAUGAUCAUGUGCAUUUGUCUCUAAGCGACAAUACAGCAAUAUAUAAUCAAGGUAGUUUAUGAAUAUGAAAACAUACUUAAUACUACAUUCUGUCCAUGACUCUUAAGUGUGGACAUGUUUCAGGAGUGAAAUACCUUGAAACUGUUCCUUUUCAAAGGAGGUUACUAGUACUUUGUGGCUGGGAGACUUUUAAUGACUUAUGCAUGUGUAAGACCUGUUCUGGAAAAGAUAUGAAGACUAUUUACUUGCCCUUGUGCUUCAUCCAAUAGGCUCCAACUACUGCGCAGUGUCUGUCAAGCCCUGGGCGGGGUCCUUGCUUCUAUUAUUCACUGAUGGAUAAUUGUGGGAGUUGAAGUCCAAAACACCUGGAGGGCCCAAGUUUGUCCUUGCCUGCUUUAUCUAGUGACCAGCAGCAGAGGCCCAUCUGACAGCAAGCAAAUGAAUUUCAUUUAAUUUUCCCUGCAUUAAAGCUUGGGGCCACUGGAGGAAGUCACUAUUCUGUUUGUUCAAAGUAAUAGGGAAACACAGCUAAUGGCACUCCUGAGAGAGGGCUUGGAGGAAUGACUGCGAGGUUGUGUAUCUUUCCCAUUGAGAAGACUAAGAUUGUCAUGUAGAACAGUGAGCAAGCUGGUUUUCCGUUGCUCCAUAGACUUAGAACAAGAAGAAAUAGAUCUGAAUUACAAGAAAAGAGAUUCCACCUAAACAUUAGGAAGAACGUUCCAAAGUUUGUAUCACCUGGCCUGUUGAAAUGAACUGGAACUUGAAAAUAAACACUUUUGUGGCAUUUUGGCUGGUUUAAAUAAAAGAGCGGCUUGAGAAACUGCAAGUUGCUUCUGGUGUGAGAGAAUUGGCCGUCUGCAAGGAUGGUGCCAAAAACACACCUGAAUGUUUGUGAUGUUUUUACCAUCCUUGUGGGAAGCUUCACUUAUGUCCCUGCAUGGAGCUGGAGCUGAUAGAAGGAACUCAUCCACACUUUCCCCGGGUUGGAUUCGAACCAGCAACCUUCAGGUCAGCAUAUUUAGUAAGCACAAGUGGACAUAGUUGCGUACAUGCAGGUUACACAAGCUACAGAGAAAAUUAAGUUGUUAAAAAACAAUGUUUAAUAUUGACAAUGCUGUAAGCCGGAUGUACAACAUUUGCAGUCAUGAUAUUCUUGCAAGAGCUGCAAAUGCUCCUCCCAAUCCACCUCCGAGGUCAGGCAGCUGCAUCAACUGAAGAAGCUGCUGCGGGAAACCAGGGCACUGAAUUGUGGUGCAUCCAGGAUCCUUCUGCCAACAAGAUGUGCUGCAAAAGGCAGCUGCAACAAGGUCUUACAGAGGCCACUGCCAGGACUUUCUGCGUCGCUUCUUGUUCUCAGGCAUCUUGGAAAUUCUUUGCCCGGCUUCUAGGAUAGUUUGGGGGCAUCAAGAAGAGCUUCAAGGUCACCAUCUACAUCAGGCAUGGGCAAACACCCUCCAGGUGUUUUGGACCAACUCCCAUCCAGUAGGCUGUCAGGAAUUGUGGGAGUUGAAGUCCAAAACACUUGGAAGGCUGAAAUUUACCUGUGCCUGAUCUACAUGCUCUUCAACAAUACACUUUUUCUAGUGGACAUGAGCAGGACUUCUGAUGCAUAGCUUGGGAAAGUUACAUUUUUGACUUACAACUCAUAGAACUCUCCAGCCUGUCUGGUAAUUAGUAAUAUUCUUGGGGUAAUCUGAGUACUGUAAUUAACAAAGUAAUAUGUGAACAUUAUGGAUUCUGCAAGUAUUUUUCAAAGUAACUUUGUUCCAAGCUAUUGCACUGGUACACAGGGAGAAUGCCCGGAUGUUGUUGGCCUGGAAGUCUCAUCAGGUCUAGUUAAUGCAAAGGGAUUAUGGGUACUGCAGUACAAAAAGCGCUGAAGGGCCAGUUGUCCAGCACUAUAUAGUUUAGUACCUACAAAUUAUUACCAGCACUUUGAAAUGGGACCAAAUUACUUCAAUCUUAGUACUGGUUUAAGAAUGGUGUUGUAUUUUGAGACUUUUUGACUGUGUUCAGCCACAUUUUCCACCAGCUUAAAUAUUGGGUCUGUCUUCAGAAGCAAUGCUACAUAAUUUCAUAAUCUGGUAAGUCCAGUUUUUUUGAUAAGAGGGGUAUUUUGCUGUGAUACGUUAAGCAAAUUUGCCUGAAUUUGCUUUUAAUAAUAAUAAAACUUUAUUUAUAUACCGUCUUAUCUCCCCAAAGGGACUCAGGGUGGCAAGUCCUGUAUUUCAAUAUUAAUAUCAAAUCAAUACAGAAAUUGUGGUAUAGUAUAGUAUAUAGAAUUGGAUUUUGACAAAUUUGGCUUGUGGAAACAAGGCUGGGUGAUAAAGUUUCAGUGUAACCACGUUUUUGCCAUAACUCUUCCAGGUAUGAAUUUCUCUCACUUAUUGUCAUUUGUAAGUCAUAUGUUUGUAACUUGGGGACUGCCUGUAUUUGGUGGCUCAUUUUUGGAAGGAAAAAAAUGAUUAAAAACUGCUAAUGACUGUACUGAAAUGUUGGACUGACUCUCGGAAAACCCUCUUUCUUCAAACUCAUGGAGCUGUUUUCACAUAUAAAGACCACAAUACACAAACGGAGAAGCACAACUGAAAUUUAAUUAAAUACAAAUAUUUAUGAAAGGUUAAGUGCCUCCAGAGACAUUUUGUUUCUACAGAUUUAUUGUUAAGUCUUUUGGGUACUCUUUAGACUUCAUCUGAUUUCCUCACAUUUAAAAUACCUCCUUACAACUUGCCAGAACUUGAUUUUCAAUAACAGAUUAUGAUCAUAAUGUGGAAUUUGGCGUUACAGCCGUCAGGCCUGCCAACAUUAAAAGUCAGUCGCCUGCACCUUUUGGUCCAAAAUAAAUCAGAAAACUAUAAAAAAA